AGAAAGCUGCAGAAAUCUCAGCUGAAGAGAGACUGAAAACUCCCACCACCGAGUUUAUGGCCUUUCUAUCUCAUUAUGCAGCAAAAACUGUAUAAAGAAGCUACAAGCACAGAAGCCCACCCCUCUCUGAAGAUGCCUGACUGGAGCUUUGGACCCUGAGGGGACCCUCACCACCAAGAAGACCAGCUGGAGAGGAUCAAAGGAACUUCUCUGGGAUCCAUGGAGUGGUGGGAUUGUCUUUAUUCUGUCUCUGUCACUCUCUUUCUCUUGCCCCCCCCCCUUUUCUAUUUCUUUCUCUUCCUUCCACUCUCUCUCUC